rnacentral:rRNA from 1 species
UACGGAGGAUCCAAGCGUUAUCCGGAAUCAUUGGGUUUAAAGGGUCCGUAGGCGGUCUAGUAAGUCAGUGGUGAAAGCCCAUCGCUCAACGGUGGAACGGCCAUCGAUACUGCUGGACUUGAAUUAUUGGGAAGCAACUAGAAUAUGUAGUGUAGCGGUGAAAUGCUUAGAGAUUACAUGGAAUACCAAUUGCGAAGGCAGGUUGCUACCAAUUGAUUGACGCUGAUGGACGAAAGCGUGGGUAGCGAACAGG